rnacentral:rRNA from 1 species
UCCUACGGGAGGCAGCAGUAACGAAUCUUCCGCAAUGCGCGAAAGCGUGACGGAGCAAUGCCGCGUGCAGGAUGAAGCCCCUCGGGGUGUAAACUGCUGUCAGGGAUUAGGAACACAAUGACCAGUCCCAAAGGAAGAGACGACUAACUCUGUGCCAGCAGCCGCGGUAAU